rnacentral:lncRNA from 1 species
UAAGGAAGCCUUCGCCUUUUAUGUUCCUCUAAUUUUACUCCAUGAUCUCACAGGGAAAUGAGUGGAGCAAGUGGCUCAUCAGCCACCUUGGCCUCUGAAAAGAAUUGUCCCAGAAGCCAUCUCUCUAUCAAACCUGGCUAAUUUCUUCUCUCCUCCUUCAGCUCUGGCCUCUUCCUGCUCACCUCUGCCAAUCUCCUUUCCUUCCACUCAAAGUCUGGCCACAACAAAAAAGAAAGCAGGUUUGGAGAGAGGCCUUCUUGAUUUGGACCCACCAUUCCAGUCCCUCAAGAUCUCUCUAAAUCCACACUCUGUAGUGGAGCAUUUUGGCUCUCCUUCCCAGCUUUGUGGCCCUUGAACAUUUGAGAGUACUAAACUCAAUUACUGAUGGACAAAACAACACAUAUCCCAGCUACCUGAAUGGCAACAUCUUGAAACAUCUAUAGGAAUCCAGCCCUCAGUAACUUCUGCAAGAAUCCCCUAAGGCGUGAAGACUCAUCUGGCCACAAUUCCUUUUGUCCUGGAGACUACUGACCCCUAAAAAGGAAUGUCAACUGUGCAAGGGGCUUUUACACAAAGCCAAUUAUCUCCUCCUACUCUCUCUGCCAAUCUUGGAAAAGUCAAGUCCUGGACUUGUUAAAGAAGGUGAUUCAUCUCUGUGUGGAAAGAAUGCCAACAGCAACUGUAUAAAAGGUUUCUUUCUUCACAUCCCUAAUUCCUGAGGACCUGAUAGUCACUUACUGUAAGGAGACUCAAGAUGAGCUUAUCUGUGACUCACCAUCUGUCCUAUGCUCUUAUAUACAAUCUACUUCCUUCCCGUUCUUCAUGUAAAUGGACUGGCCAAAGCUUUCUGAGAGGAUGAGUAUUAUAAUUAAGAAACAGAGUAGACAAUAAGGCAAAUGAUAAAUUUCACAAAUAAACAUGUAAUAGAAACUUCAGCAUUUUAACAUGUAAUAGAAAAUAUUGUUUAUAAUUUUAUUCUGAGAACCUAGCAUGUUCUUCUAAAAGUUUCAACCAUUUUGGCAUAUCAAUUUUUAAAAUACGAUUAGUGAUGCAUUUAUUCGUAGUCUCAGGACUCAGAAAACCAAAAGAGACAAUUAAAAAGUUCAUUGUAUUUCUCUAAUGACCAGUGAUGAUGAGCUUUUUUUCAUAUGCUUGUUGGCCAC